rnacentral:lncRNA from 1 species
AUCUGUUGGUCCCCAUAUACAUUAGAGUGCAAGCAUCCUCGGGCUGCAGGGUUCAGUUGGUAAAGGGCUUGCUGCUCCAACUUAGGACCCUGAGUUCAAGCCUCAGAACCUGCGUGAAAAAGACAGGCACGGUGACAGCUACAUGUAACCUAAGAGCUGGAGAGGCAGAGACUGGAGGACUCCUGGGACUCACUGGCUAGUUCCAGGCUAGUUCCAGACCAAUGAGAGAAACUUUUUCAAAAUGCAAGGUGGAUACCUCCCAAGGAAUGACACCUGAGGUUAACCUACACACACACACACACACACACACAAACACACACACACACACUCACAUGCACACACAAACACACAUGAGCAUGUACACUUAAACACACCCAAAAACACACAGACACACACACUCACAUGCACACAAACACACACAAAUAAACAUAGAUACACACACUCACAUGCACACAUAUACACAUAUGCACACACACACACACAUCCAUGUGAACACCAUCCAUCCUCCCCACAUACAUACGUUCUGGUGCUCCCACAGUGGUAACCGAGCUUCUUGCCUGCUGCCUGUGGCCGCCUGCCAGCCGUCUCCCACCCUGCCCUCCCGCCCCUGUGCUCUGACUUCCUCCAGCUGGGCCUCGUACUUUCUGAGAAUCGGCUGGGUCUGUUGCCAGCUCUCCCAGCGCGAGUCAUAUUUGUUAUUGUAAUUAUGUGAUUUAAAUUAAACAUCACAUAAACGAAUGAGAUACGAGUGCGGAAGGAAAUACAGCCGCCACGAUGGGAACCCGAUCGAAUACUCGUGAACGACUCUGCGAACAGGAGGGGCUCUAAGAAGAAUUCGAAGGGCGCAAUCACCCCAAAGUUCUCUCCCUCGGAUCAGGAAUGCCAUCUUGGUACCUGGUACCAGUUAGUAAAUAUUUGUUGCCUGGGUGCCUGCUGUGACUUAAAUGAGAUACAACCAAAGUCUUGGGCACAAAGUCUGUGGUCAGGGAAAAGGCUUACUUCUAUGCAAAACUAACUGGCAAUUCCAUAUACGUUUAAGUUAGUCACGUGGUAAUGAAAUUGUCUAAGGCACAAAUUCGUCCUUUUGUGAUUCCCUCCUCAGCUUUAAUUUAGAGACAUCAUCUGUGAGGCUGGUGUGCUGGGAGUAAGCAAAGGACCAGACAGUAAACAACAGAGCAAAGCUUUCUUACUAUGUAACCAAAGACGACCUUGAACUCCCUUGCCCCACCCCGACCUCCCAAUAGAUAUGUACCCUGUAAUCAUUUUAUGGACAUUGAACCCAUGGAUUCUCAUAUGGUAGGCCUCUACCCAUCCCUAAUGCAAGGUGUUCCCUGUGGCAUGACAGAGUGCUGUAGACACAGCAGCAGUGGACAGUGUGCAAAUAAAUGGAUGGGCCUGGCUGUGACUCUCCAGAGGGUGAAACUGUAUCCACAGAACUAGACUGAGCCUUGCUUGGCAGCCACAUUCUGUUACUAAUGUAUCCCUCAGUGGGGCUGGAGAUAGGCAAAGAAGCUCCCAUCCUGCCCCAUGUGGAGCUUGCCUUACUAGCUGCGGAGAGAGCAUCAGGUCCAAAGAUGAUUACAAGACAGUAGAUCUAGGAUGGUGGCACGUGACCCUGCUACAGAGGGGACACACUGAGCAGGCAACAGUUGACCAGGCUUAUAGGACAGGUGACAUUAUGCCAGGUCAUCAGAUGGGGCAGCAGGGAAGACAUUCUGGGUAGAGGAACCUCAGAGGCAGGGACUCCGAGUAGGUGCUGCCAGGGAGGGAAGAUGUAAGAGAACUUGGGCUGAGUUCUGGACCUGGUGGGUCUGUCCCUCCACUAAGACUUUUCUGGAAGGAUUAACUUGCUUGUGCCACAGUGUUCCCUCCAUCCCCUGACAGGUGGUAGGGAAGGAGGGGGUGGGGAGUUAUACCUGUCCCCUUCCCCGGCCCUCUCCUAGGCCUGCCGUGGAGAUGAGGGAUGGCUCACACUAGAGUCUGAGGUGCAGAAUGGCCUGGAGCCCAAACCUCACAGGGUUAUUCUAGCUCAGAACCCAUGUGGCUCAUGUGAGGGGUCACGGGUGCUCUUGCCAGAUACAGCAACUGUGAGGGGAGAGGCACUACACAGAGACAGGGACUGCCCAAUCAGCUCGUGACACAGUGCCCCUGCCCCCUGCAUGUCUGGUGACUGGAUACAUGCUUGUCUUCAUAGGACUGGCAGUUCACAGGGAGGCUGGCAUUUAAACCAGUCUCCUGUGUCUCCGCUGCCAGGCAGCAGUGCCCAGACACUCACUGUUGCCAUUUGGACAGGGCUUCUCUCGGUGCCUGAACAUCCAGACUGCAGGAGAGGCUUCCAUGAAGAAAUGCUUCGUACAGAGCACCUUCCUGCCGCUGGGAGCAAGGCCGAGCUCACCCUGCCACUCCCCCUCCUCCUCCAAUCAACUUGGAGCAUUAAAGGGAGUGAUUUUUUUUAUUCUCCCCAAGCUAGAUUCCAUUAAUGAAGCCCCAUUUAACAGAAGUCAAUUUACC